UACGUAGGGGGCAAGCGUUGUCCGGAUUUAUUGGGCGUAAAGAGCGUGUAGGCGGCCAGACAAGUCCGCCGUGAAAGUCCAGGGCUCAACCCUGGGAUGCCGGUGGAAACUGUCGGGCUAGAGUCCGGAAGAGGCGAGUGGAAUUCCUGGUGUAGCGGUGAAAUGCGCAGAUAUCAGGAAGAACACCCGUGGCGAAGGCGGCUCUCUGGGACGGUACUGACGCUGAGACGCGAAAGCGUGGGGAGCGAACAGG
rnacentral:rRNA from 1 species